CCUGCCCUAUAUAAUCUGUUCCCCAACUUAGCCCGGCACGCUCAGUCCACAGGAGGCUGAUGCGUCCGCAGGCGCCUAUGUAAACAAUAAAUCACCUCUUGCGACUUGCAUCCAGUGGAGACGUGGUGUCUGGUUCUUGGGUGCGGAGCGAGGGUCUUUCAUUUGGAGGUCCCACUGAGAUCUAUUGGACUCCCACCCAAGAAAGACUCCAACCGAUCCCCACCGGGAGGCCCAUCUGCGAGCUUUGCAGCUGGUGCAACAAGAAGUCUGGAAACCCCUGGCAGCCGCCUACCGGGAAGAACUUAACAUCCCGUCGCGACCCCAUCCCUACAAAAUCGGGGACACUGUCUGGGUCCGCAGGCAUGGAGCCACGAACCUUGAACCCCGCUGGAAAGGACCUCAUAUGGUGCUCCUAACAACGCCCACGGCGCUAAAAGUUGACGGGAUUGCAGCCUGGAUCCAUGCCUCCCAUGUGAAGGCGGCACACCCGGACGG